UUUUUGGUGAAUCAGAGAUAACAGUUUCCAUCUUUUUCAAGGAUGUGUUUGGAGGCAGAACUGGUAAAUGUUUUAUACCUAAUUGCAAAGCUGGUAUAAAUAUUUCAGGACACAAUUGAGUUUUUCUCAUUAAAACUGGUUCUCCUGUCUCCGUAUGCAGAAGUUUCUAGCUGUGGGGAGAAAGUACUAUUUUAAAAUAAUUGCAAAGAUUCUAAUUCCAUGGUAACCAUGACAAAUAGACCUCUGUUAUAAUAGGUUUUGAUGGGCUUAUUUUUAGUUAGAACAAAGACAAUUUUGGUUAUUAAAAAAUACCCUAACCUAACUUGAUCUCUGUUUUUUAACUUGCUCCUACUUAAAGGCUAUGGUGGGCCAGACAAAUCAGAAAUGAUUAGUUUUUCAAGCCAAUAGCAUUAUCUGUGAAUCACUUGUCUCAGGCAGAUUUGAAGGUAUUUGUUGUAGGGUUGCUAGAAAUCCUAAAUCUUUUUUUCUCAUAUUUCCGCAUUUAGGAAAAUCAGUGCAAAAGCAAACGACGUUCUUUGGUACUCUCCAUAGAGUUACAUUUGAACGUGCACUAAUGGAGAGGAGAAAUUUUCAUUUUCCCUUUGGUCACUUUUCAUGUCUUACCCAUAGAUGGCAGCAAGUGAUCACUCUGCUAACCCACCUGGCCCAGCCAGUCCGGGUCAGCCUGUGUUGUAAAACCAAGGUAAAAGGGAGGAAAGUGGAAGACAGCCUACCAUAUCCUUGGAGGAUGCUUCGUUUAGUUGUCUGAGAUAUGGCUCUUCUCUUCAGAGCUGGAGAACUUUGCUCUCUUUAGAUUCUUCUUCUGAGGCUUGAAAGAACCCUAGCAACAUUGAAGGAGCAGUCAAGGCCGGGCAGGGAGGGCAAGUGGCCUGGGGCUUCCUGGAUCGCUCAGUGUCUUCUGUGGUCUCAUUCAACUCAACUCAUUCAACUCAAGUGUUGUAAAAUGGAAGUUCUUCUGGAAAUUCAGUCUUGUCCCUUUGGUCUCUAUAGGUCUGCAGUCUCUGUCUCUCUCUUAUUUCCCAACCUCCCAGCAAAUUGUAUUUUGGGGUGCCCUCCCCCGCUGCAUCCUGAUGUAUACCAGCAACCCCAUGAGGCUGGAGAGUCAACGUGCAGUUUUCCUUGAUUGGUAUAACAUUAAGAACAUGGCCAGUACCCUCAUCUUGCAAGGGCCAAGUUGUAUGAAGAGGAUCUUUUCAAACUCUCAUGGGAACCUAGGAUCUAUAUCUGCUCUCAAGGUAUCUCUGGUGGUAUAAGGUCUCCUGAGGCAUCGACACAAGGUAUUUUAUAAGAAUCCAUAGCUUACAAAUAGGUGCUAAGCACAUGCAAAGAUGUUUAACAUCAUUAGAUAUUAGGAAGAUACAAAUCAAACCCAUAAUGAGAUACUACUUUAUACCCAUAAGAAUGGCUGGAAUCAAAACGUCAGAAAACCACAAAUAUUGGUGAGGAUAUGUAGAAAUUCCCUACAACCUGGUAAUGAAAAAUAUGCAGCUGCUUUGGAAAACAGUUUGGUGGUUCCUUGAAUAAUUAAACAUAGAGUCACCAUAGAUCCUAGCAGUCCUACUCCUAGAUUUAUCCUCAAGGGAAAUGCCAAUGUUUUUUCACACAACAACUUGUAUAUGGAUGUUUAUAGCAGCAUUGUUCAUAAUAGCUCUAAUGUGGAAACAACCCAAAUGUCCAUCAACUGAUGAACAGAUAUACCAUGGAGUGAUAUUCAGCAAUAAUAAGGAGUGAAGUACUGAUACGUGUCACAACAUAGGUACCUCUUGAAAACACUACGCCAAGUGAGAGAAGCUAGUCACGAAUAAACCACUUAUUUUAUGAUUCCA
ensembl:lncRNA